rnacentral:sRNA from 1 species
UCCUAUUUCGUAAACACUGGUAUUCGA